GGGGUACAAAAGUAACGGCGGUACGGGCAGGAUAAUUUUUUUUUGUUUGAGGGGGAGCAUCGGUGAUCUUUCCCCUUUAAUCAAUUCGUGUUAAUUCAGAAGACGAUGCAACGACGAAGGAGAAAUUGAGAAGGCCCAAAUUGGUUUCUUCUAAAGGGUUGGUUUAUUGUGUCUAGGCUGAAGAGAGAUGCAGUUUGCUAUGUCUGAAGAUAGUGGAAAUCAACAAAUCAAGUUUAGCAAGCUGGUGUGAUACCAUAUUUAAGUCAGCUAAAGUUUCCAUGAUUCCACAUUUAAGGCACCCAUCCCUGAAGAGAUGGAUUAACAGUGACUUCCUCAUCAGUGUGACCACAUUGUGAUUUGUGAAAGUUCCUCUUCGUUUCAAGUGUCGUCUUGGUUGAAACAUGUAUUCUCCCCAAGAUUGUCCAUAAAUGAGGAGAAUUGUUGAGUGGUUAAUCAAAUCGAUUAUGUCUUAACUCUAAGUAAGGUUGAUUGACACUAUAUUUCUCUAUGUCCAUUCCACUCAAUUCAGGUUCAUUUGAACUCAAGUAGUUCAACUAUUUUUGUACGAUGAUUGUGAUAAGCCUAUUGAUAGAUAAAAGAAUUAAAGUUCA